ensembl:snRNA U1 U1 spliceosomal RNA
AUACUUACCUGGCAGGAUGGGAUACCACGAUGGUGUAGGCAGCUCUCCCAAGGCGAGGCUUAUCCUUUACACUCCAGAUGGGCUGACCCCGGUGAUUUCCACAAAUGUCAGAAACUGAACUGCACAAUUUGUGAUAGUGUGGAACUGUGUUUGUGCUUUCCCUG